rnacentral:rRNA from 1 species
UACGGAGGGGGCUAGCGUUGUUCGGAAUUACUGGGCGUAAAGCGCACGUAGGCGGAUUGGAAAGUUGGGGGUGAAAUCCCGGGGCUCAACCCCGGAACUGCCUUCAAAACUCCCAGUCUGGAGGUCGAGAGAGGUGAGUGGAAUUCCGAGUGUAGAGGUGAAAUUCGUAGAUAUUCGGAGGAACACCAGUGGCGAAGGCGGCUCACUGGCUCGAUACUGACGCUGAGGUGCGAAAGCGUGGGGGAGCAAACAGG